GAUGAACGCUGGCGGCGUGCCUAAUACAUGCAAGUCGAGCGAAUGGAUUAAGAGCUUGCUCUUAUGAAGUUAGCGGCGGACGGGUGAGUAACACGUGGGUAACCUGCCCAUAAGACUGGGAUAACUCCGGGAAACCGGGGCUAAUACCGGAUAACAUUUUGAACCGCAUGGUUCGAAAUUGAAAGGCGGCUUCGGCUGUCACUUAUGGAUGGACCCGCGUCGCAUUAGCUAGUUGGUGUGGUAACGGCUCACCAAGGCAACGAUACGUAGCCGACCUGAGAGGGUGAUCGGCCACACUGGGACUGGGACACGGCCCAGACUCCUACGGGAGGCAGCAGUAGGGAAUCUUCCGCAAUGGACGAAAGUCUGACGGAGCAACGCCGCGUGAGUGAUGAAGGCUUUCGGGUCGUAAAACUCUGUUGUUAGGGAAGAACAAGUGCUAGUUGAAUAAGCUGGCACCUUGACGGUACCUAACCAGAAAGCCACGGCUAACUACGUGCCAGCAGCCGCCGUAA
rnacentral:rRNA from 1 species